UACGUAGGUGUCAAGCGUUGUCCGGAUUUAUUGGGCGUAAAGCGCCCGCAGGCGGCUUGCCAAGUUCGAUGUGAAAUCUCCCGGCUCAACUGGGAGGGUGCAUCGAAAACUGGCAGGCUUGAGGCAGGGAGAGGGAUGUGGAAUUCCAGGUGUAGUGGUGAAAUGCGUAGAUAUCUGGAGGAACACCGGUGGCGAAGGCGGCAUCCUGGACCAAUACUGACGCUGAGGAGCGAAAGCUAGGGGAGCAAACGGG
rnacentral:rRNA from 1 species